GAUGAUAUAGCUCUGUGGUAGAGCAUUUGCCUAGCACGCAUGAACCUCUGGGUUCAAUCCCCAAUACCACCA
rnacentral:tRNA from 1 species